rnacentral:rRNA from 1 species
CGUGUAGGCGGUAUCAUAAGUCAGAUGUGAAAGUUCGGGGCUUAACCCCGGAAUUGCAUUUGAAACUGUAAUACUUGAGUACUGGAGAGGUAAGUGGAAUUCCUAGUGUAGCGGUGAAAUGCGUAGAUAUUAGGAGGAACACCAGUGGCGAAGGCGACUUACUGGACAGUGACUGACGCUCAUAUGCGAAAGCGUGGGGAUCAAACAGGAUUAGAUACCCCAGUA